rnacentral:rRNA from 1 species
UGGGGAAUAUUGCACAAUGGGCGCAAGCCUGAUGCAGCCAUGCCGCGUGUAUGAAGAAGGCCUUCGGGUUGUAAAGUACUUUCAGCGGGGAGGAAGGGAGUAAAGUUAAUACCUUUACUCAUUGACGUUACCCGCAGAAGAAGCACCGGCUAACUCCGUGCCAGCAGCCGCGGUAAUACGGGGGUGCAAGCGUUAAUCGGAAUUACUGGGCGUAAAGCGCACGCAGGCGGUUUGUUAAGUCAGAUGUGAAAUCCCCGGGCUCAACCUGGGAACUGCAUCUGAUACUGGCAAGCUUGAGUCUCGUAGAGGGGGGUAGAAUUCCAGGUGUAGCGGUGAAAUGCGUAGAGAUCUGGAGGAAUACCGGUGGCGAAGGCGGCCCCCUGGACGAAGACUGACGCUCAGGUGCGAAAGCGUGGGGAGCAAACAGG